rnacentral:tRNA from 1 species
GGGUGUAUAGCUUAGUUAGUAGAGCAUUAGGCUAUGAACCUAAUGGUAACAGGUUCAAGUCCUACUAUAUCCA